AUGCGGGGCACCUACCACCGGGUACUUGAUAAAGUGGAGCUCCUGCUGCCUGAGAAACUGAGGCCGUUGUACAACCAACCAGCAGGUCCCAGAACAGUAUUCUUCUGGGCUCCAAUUAUGAAAUGGGGGUUGGUGUGUGCUGGAUUGGCUGACAUGGUCAGACCUGCAGAAAAACUCAGCACAGCCCAAUCUGCUGUUUUGAUGGCUACAAGGUUUAUUUGGUCAAGAUACUCACUUGUAAUUAUUCCCAAAAACUGGAGUCUGUUUGCUGUUAAUUUCUUUGUUGGGACAGCAGGAGCCUCUCAGCUCUUUCGUAUUUGGAGAUAUAACCAAGGAUUAAAAGCUAAAGCAAACAAAUAAGAGUUCU